GAUGAACGCUAGCGGCAGGCUUAAUACAUGCAAGUCGAGGGGCAGCACGGUUAGCAAUAACUGGUGGCGACCGGCGCACGGGUGCGUAACACGUAUACAAUCUACCUUAAACAGGGGGAUAGCCUUUCGAAAGAGAGAUUAAUACCCCGUAAUAAAUUGAACGGCAUCGUUUGAUUUUGAAAGCUCCGGCGGUUUGAGAUGAGUAUGCGUCUGAUUAGCUAGUUGGUGAGGUAACGGCUCACCAAGGCGACGAUCAGUAGGGGAUCUGAGAGGACUAACCCCCACACUGGUACUGAGACACGGACCAGACUCCUACGGGAGCAGCAGUAAGGAAUAUUGGUCAAUGGAGGCAACUCUGAACCAGCCAUGCCGCGUGCAGGAUGACGGCCCUAUGGGUUGUAAACUGCUUUUAUACAAGAGAAAACCCUGGUACGUGUACCAGGUUGAUAGUAUUGUAAGAAUAAGCAUCGGCUAACUUCGUGCCAGCAGCCGCGGUAAU
rnacentral:rRNA from 1 species